CUUUGGAAACUCCCAUGUCUGUUGACCUCAGAAGAAAGCUGCUCUUUUCUGUGAGUCAGAACUUGAUCUCAAGAAGGAGUUGUGGACUCAUCCCACCACACCCAGUAGUUCCCAUUGAUCCAUGGAACAUAAAAGCCCCCGACUUCACCCCAAAACUGUACAGAUCUUCGGGUUUGCCACGGAUCAAGAGCAAAAACAUUUACCUGGUUAAAUCAAACAAUAGUGUGGAUGGAAAAUCGUUAAUUUUGGUAAAGAUUAACGAUGUUACUCCUUCAAUAUUGCCUGGACUUGAGAAAAAGGGAUGUAAAGCACGACCAUUUAUCACAUUCUACAAACCACCAGACACACUAGAGUCAAAACUGCUGUUUGUGAGUGCAGGGAUGUAUCCAGCGGGGCUGUACAAAGAUCCAAAACCUCAUAACUUCAGACCUUGUGCUGAGGUAAUGCCGGAAAUUGUGACUUCUUUAGAAAAGGAUUCUGGGUGCUUGAUCCUCAAGUCUCAGUGCCUAAAAGCAGUCAAUGACAGCCAUCCUGACAUGAACCCUUCUCACAGAGACACAGCGAGCAAAAUAGACACUUUCAAACCAGCAGAGCUUAAAUGGGACUCAAGGCUCAUACUACCAAAGACGCCAUGGC
rnacentral:lncRNA from 1 species